rnacentral:lncRNA from 1 species
CGUGGAGUUCUCAAUCAGGUUUAAUUCACCAGGACAUCAAGGCAGACAUGGAUUCUCUCCCUUCUCCACCCUUUAAUGUGCGAUUAUCAGGAUAAAGAAUGGCCAGCACCUGAAUUUCUGAAUGAUGUGAGAAGCAGGACCUGAUCCUACCUCUUCCUGCCACAAUGGGAAGCUCAUUUCUGAAGGAUCUGGAAGAAAUUACAGGAGUGACAGUUGUGAGAGGGACGUACUCCAGAUUGGCGGGGCUGGUUUGUGCUUUGUUACCACAUUGCCUCCUCCUAGCAGAAUGGAUGUGCUGGUGGCAUUCCCGGAUUUCUCGAGCUCUCAUGCUAACUCUGAGUCAGCUUUGACCUGGCUGGGUGCCCACCUGCAUAAUUCCAGAUGUGACCAUGGAGAGUGCACAGGGCAAACAACCCUAGGGAAGAAGGUCUUGCUGGCUUGAUGUCUAAAAACAAAAUAAAAAUCAAGUAAAAUUCCUCGAGUCUAAGUCU